rnacentral:lncRNA from 1 species
UCUCAUCAAAAUCAACUUUUUUUUUUUUUUUGGUUGAAAGUUACUUCUUUUUUUUUUACAUAAUUAUAUAUAUAAAAUCGACCUGAAUAAUCAGAAAUUCAGAUCCGGUUACAAACCCGCUUUGAACAAAACACCAAAGUCAAAAUAUUACAACCUAGUUUGGUCCGCCAAUUAAACCCGGCACAUUCCGCUAAACCAUUUUUCAAAAUUCUUUGGAAUCGGUUUCUGUUCUCAACCAUUGACGAUGAUCGCGGGACGGUGAGGUUCUCCUCGUUGCCUCGGAUACCGGGACUCCCCAUGUCGCCUUCGGAGUAGCUGGAUUCCGAUGAACUCCACGAAGCUUAUAACCGUCACUGUCUUUGAAGCACAAGAGGAGCAAUAAGGGAUUGUUCCAAAUACUUACCACGAUGCCUUGCAAAUGCCACCAAAGCCGGGAAUGUAUGAAACGCCACACAGCGCCUGAAACGCAGCCCUAAGAAGCAAGCACUCGCUACUGCCGCCAUCGAACCAACUACCUAAAAAAACGGGCUGAGAAGGAAACAACAUCAAACUGCAAUCUUCAGAACCUGCAAAGAAGAAAAGAACCGCCUGCGAGGUAGACGACACGAUCGCGUCCUUCCUCACACUGGGAUGACGGAAUCUGAAGCAAGGUCUCCACAUCACCAGCCAGACCCAAACUGACCCAGCCUGGAUUAACCGGCGAAUCCUAACUCCCGUACAGAGAACCCGUACGGGUCUUCCAUGCGCUUCUGGUGAAUACCUCGAUGGAGGAGAAACGAGGAUAAACCAAAAACAGGACCUGAACAAAUCCGACCAUAGAAGGUCAAGACAAAUCACAAAUUGAUGAAAUGGAGACAUAGGUGCAAAGGAAGAGCAGCUUCAAAGUGAGCGGAGCACAGCCAUAGACGACAGGACACCGGAAAUCACCCUCAGCUACGCACGAUAACCCCAUAGAAGUGUAGUCACCACACGGCCAUGGUCGCGCCGGCGACGAACAACAACCGCCUCCCCUGAGCGAGAGAAAAAACCCUUAACCGUUCGACAAGACCACAAGCCGACAGUGAAAGGUGACCUCCUCCCUCCUCUCCACAACGAAGAGCACUGUUCGAAUCAACUGGGGGAGAGAGACCUCUGAACUUCCAUACGCCUCCAGCUCGAGAACGCCGACGGGACCUACAAGUUAAAAUCAAGAUCCGCCUGAGCCAAGCCCUAAACGCCGACUUCGCCUUACCACAAACCCUCACCACCUCACAGGAACUCCAGAUCGAAGUCAACCAACCACGGAUCCAACCCCUCCGGAGAAGAUUAGAGACCCCGCGGCAGAGCUCCUUCCAGAGCGCCUAGUAUAUCGACGGCUUGGAGAGAGAGGUGAAAACGGAGCAAAGCACAAAGAAGAUGGUGAGAGAAGAGAGCCUCCGGCAGCCACGCGCCCGGCUGACAGCCGCCGGAGCAGAUCGGAGAAGAUGAAGAUGGAGUCUUGCUGGAGUUAGAGAGAGGGAGGAGCUAACUUCCAUCAAAAUCAACUUCUAUUGCAAAACAACUUUAAUAUCACGUGUGUUCAUGCUUUGAUAUAAAGUUGUAAAGAAAAUCUUCUAAGAUACUUCACUAAGAAAUACCUAACUAUGAAAACUUUGGGUCUCAGAAAUGGUGCAGCUGUUUAUAGGAAAGAUGCGUUCCUAUGAUAUGAACUUAAUCUGUACCCAAGAAAUAAGAAUUAUUAAAAGAGUAGUUGAAUUUUGGACGUUUAAUCUGUGGACUUAUCUACAUGGUCAUCAUUUUCUUGUUUCUUUUUCACCGGUCAUGUGCUGCGCACUAAAACAUAGUUUAGUCCCUUUUCUAUUUUUCGGAUUUAGAUUACUUUUUACUUAGCGCACAUAUAAUCUAUACAGAAGCAUGAGUUUGGUCUUUAUGGUUGCGCUAGCGGCUCUUGUCUCCAAGUAAGACAUGUGGAUGUGGUAACAAGAACAUACAAUUGUUUUUAGUAUAGACUUUUGGUAAAUAUUUGGCUUUUUGGUAAUGAGUAAAAAGCCAAAUAAAUUACCAAAAGUCAGGAGAAUUUAUUUGGCUUUUUACUCAUUACCAAAAUUCUGACAACACCAUUGGUUUUGAAGCUUAUCGGUUAAAAGCCAAAUAAAUCCUAGCUAUCUCCAUGCUUUCCCAUCCGUCGUAUCCAGCCAGCUCAAUCAGAAUACUAAACCGUAUCACAUUCUUCCUUAGUCACUCAACCAACCAUCCCCACAUGACCAAGUAGACAUGAGAGACGGCUUGGUCUCCGACUAGCCAUCCAGUACAGAUAGUGCGCCAGCCUUGCUAGCGUCCCAGAACCAGUCGCUGAUCAUAUCUUGAUCAGACAGCACACACUCGGCUCUACAGCCCCAGAUCCAAUCAGUAACAACACGCAUCCAUCCAGUACAACUCUCGGUCCAGUCAACACUCAGUCCGCAAUGAAAAGUUACCAGCCAAUCCCUCAAAACUCGGCCUACACCAUAGUCGGUACACAACGCUAAGACUCGAUCCGAGUCUUAACCCCCAGUAUCACGAUCCACACCCAUCCAGCCGAUAAUCGCCUCGCACUGAACAUAUAUAUUCCCACCUCGUCUCAUACGCCAUCAGCACAACCAACAUAACUUGACCCCGUAUGUAACCGAUCCAGACUCCACCGAACCAGACCCUCUUGGACCUGCGAUCCAUCGGACAACACCCAGACUGCCAUUCCAGUUGAUCUCAGACUCAUUCAGAACGAUUUGCGACCGCACCACCAUUGAACGUAAAUGCCGAUCUUCCAGUAUUCGAUGUGUUCCAUCAGUAUACGACUCUUGUCAGUACAUACUAAGCCGAUAACCCCUUUUAUGUGGCUUGUGCACGGUCCCAUGGACUGUAACCACCGUAUAUUGCAGUAAGCACAUCGUGAACCAUCAUGUUCGAUCACUCAGUACGCGGCUCACCUUUAAUGACUCAGACUAAGCCGCACGCACUAUCGCUCGACUCUCGGACAGUCGAAUUAUGACCCGAUCGGCCCAUCUCCGUGGACUCAGUCUCUCUCGAUCAGAUUCUCCUCUUUCUCUCACUGUUGUUCUCUCUAUUUUUUUGUCGCUGUCUUUCUGUUCCAGUAAUCGUGUCCCCCUUUCUGACCGCGGAAAUCAGAAUAAAAGGAGUUUGGGCAGUUACCCCUUGGCCUUAACCACCCCUAACCGCUUAUCAACUUCUCCCGCGCUCAGUCAAGAAUAACUGUCUGCAGCAGUUUCUUUCCCUCGGCCCAACUGCCAAGUGACAGUUUUAAGGCAAUUCUGUAACCGUCCAGGUCGGUUAAUUCAUCCAGUAACCGCUCAGGUAACCGUCCUAAUAACUGCUCCCGCCUAUUUUCUUAGGCAAUCAGUACAUGUUUAGUUCAGUCCGUUCCCGCCAGAACGUAUAUUAAUCAGUCCAUAGACCGACUAACUACUCUCGAAAGACAAGUCCAAUUACCUUGUCUGAAUCCGACCAGCUUAGUUCGACAAAGCUCAAUUGCUAUGUCCCGACCUACAGUAUUGUCUUAAUCCGACCAAUACUAUUCAGACGAUAUGUUGCACAUGCAUUGUUCGUCUGAUCAAUCCAACUAAUACUCGACCUUGGACUGAUCCAGCUUAGACUGCAGGACGGGGAUGCUACACUUAUCCUAAAGUAUUUCUCUAUGAAUAUCUUUAAAUGUGCAAGAACUGAUAGAGACAUUUCAUAAGGAUAUUCAUCUUUGAUUCAAACAACACAUGUAUUUCUUUGCGUCUGUCUAUUUCUCUGAUCACAACUUUGUCCCUGAUUUCACCAAAGAUUUGUUGUCCCCUAAUAAUUACUUGACCUAAUAUUUUUGUGAUCACGUUCUAUUAGAUCUACUAACCAACAUGGGACCCCUUAUGCUAAUAAAAAACGGUGUAAAAAAGCAUGAGUCUGGUAGUUUUUGGCUUCUCUUGUAUAUAUACAAGUUCUCAACUUCUGUUGUAAGUAUAUAUAUAUAUAUUGUAUCUUGUUAUAUAAAUACAUAGCUUUCAUUCCCGCAUGAUCAUGUCUUCUCACCAUAAGCUUUAUAGUCCACAAUUUGUUUUGCACAUACAAUUGAUUAUGCCAACUUGGGACCAUCAUAGAUCAGAUAGAGUAGAAACAUAGGCAUGUGCUGUGUCUGGUUAGGUUUCUGAGGAGCUUGUCAUAAAGCCUGUCAAAACUAAUAGUUUCUCCUCCUAUAAAAUGAAACAAGGCAAUGGUAUUUUCCAUCAUUCAUUUCUGUCAUAACUAUCAUUCACAGAAUCACAUAGAGCUCUACAUCAGAACUUACAAAUCUGUUCUCUUUCUUUCUCCUUCUUACUUUUUGGAUUAAAUAUUUUUUAGAAAAUGAUAAUGAACACAAAGAAGCUAAUCAAGAUGGUCAAGAAAUGGCAACAAAGAGCAGCCCUCCACAGGAAAAGGAUCUCAUUUCAGAGGUCGAGUUCUGGUGGUAGCAGCUCAACGUCAUUAGAUAAGGGUUGCUUUGUGGUUUAUACGGCGGACAAAGCCCGCUUUACUUUUCCAAUAAGUUACCUGAGCAACUCUGUUUUCCAAGUACUCUUGAAAAUCUCUGAAGAAGAGUUCGGCCUCCCCACCGAAGGACCAAUUACAUUGCCAUUCGAUUCUGUUUUCUUGGAGUAUCUUAUCAAAUUGGUCCAGCGACGAAUGGAUGAAGAUACAGAAAAGGCUUUGUUAAUGUCAAUCUCUAGUGCUAGAUGUUCUUGGCAAUGCUCUUUGCAACUACAAGAUCAAAGUAGUUGUCAACAUUUGCUUGUAUUUUAGAGUGUAGCAGUUUCUGUAUUAUAUAGGCACAGAAAUAAACAUUAUUAUCUUCAUCUCUUCUCAUCAAAAUCAACUUUUUUUUUUUUUUUGGUUGAAAGUUACUUCUUUUUUUUUUACAUAAUUAUAUAUAUAAAAUCGACCUGAAUAAUCAGAAAUUCAGAUCCGGUUACAAACCCGCUUUGAACAAAACACCAAAGUCAAAAUAUUACAACCUAGUUUGGUCCGCCAAUUAAACCCGGCACAUUCCGCUAAACCAUUUUUCAAAAUUCUUUGGAAUCGGUUUCUGUUCUCAACCAUUGACGAUGAUCGCGGGACGGUGAGGUUCUCCUCGUUGCCUCGGAUACCGGGACUCCCCAUGUCGCCUUCGGAGUAGCUGGAUUCCGAUGAACUCCACGAAGCUUAUAACCGUCACUGUCUUUGAAGCACAAGAGGAGCAAUAAGGGAUUGUUCCAAAUACUUACCACGAUGCCUUGCAAAUGCCACCAAAGCCGGGAAUGUAUGAAACGCCACACAGCGCCUGAAACGCAGCCCUAAGAAGCAAGCACUCGC